GUGAAUCAUCAAAUCUUUGAACGCAAAUUGCGCUUCCUGGCAUCCCGGGAAGUAUGCCUGUUUGAGAGUCAGUAUUAAUAAAAAAUCGUUUUAGUUACAAAUUGUGGCGUUUCUGGAGUUUGGGCUGUCUUAACAUUUUUGGUUAAGAGGAUGAAAAUUGACCUUUUUUGCGCAUUUUUAUACGUACAUAAAUUUUUUUAUUCGUCUAUUCUUAUUUCCAAAAUCUUGUUAUGUGCGAUCACAUCUU
rnacentral:misc_RNA from 1 species